rnacentral:piRNA from 1 species
UCCUAGAUUUGAAGCAAGGGUCC